UACGGGGGGAGCAAGCGUUGUUCGGAUUUACUGGGCGUAAAGCGCGCGUAGGCGGCCCGGUAAGUCCGCUGUAAAAGUCAGGGGCUCAACCCUUGAACGCCGGUGGAUACUGCCGGGCUAGAGUGCGGAAGGGGCAACUGGAAUUCUUGGUGUAGCGGUGAAAUGCGUAGAUAUCAAGAGGAACACCUGCGGCGAAGGCGGGUUGCUGGGCCGACACUGACGCUGAGGCGCGAAAGCCAGGGGAGCGAACGGG
rnacentral:rRNA from 1 species